rnacentral:lncRNA from 1 species
CGCGGGUGCCUUCCUUACGAGGAAGACGACCCUGACAGGCGGGCCCCGCCUGUCAGUGGCUCGGUGCGGGCGCGCGCGUGGACCGGGCCGGUCGGUUCGGCUCAGGCGCGCGGAACGGGGCCGGUUCGGCCCAUUUUGGCCGGGCCGGUCUGGUUUUCUCCCCUUUUUUUUCUUUUAGCCUUUUUUUUCUCCUUUUCUCGAUUCUUUGAUAUUUUUGAUUUUGAACUCCAAAUUGGUCCAAAUAAAUUCCAGAAAAAUUUUAAAAUCAUGUUUUAUCAUGAUUCAACUUUUGGGAGUAAUUUCCCCUCAAAAUAAAAUAUAUAAAAAUACAUUUGGCCUAUAAAUGCCUUUAGAGCUAUAUAACUAUUUAAGUAAAAUAGUUUUUCAACUCCAAAAAUUAUCCUAAAAAUAUGGGAUAGCUUAUUUAUGCAAUAAACCCCUUUUAUACAUAAACCCUAUUGGUUUAAAAAUCCAAAGCUUAAAUGGGUGAAAAACCCUAGGGUUUAAUUUGAAAUAAAAACCUUUAAAGCCUUUUUGAUAUUCAAAUUUGAAUUCAAACAUGCAAUUGUGGCAUGAUGCUUAUGGAUGCAAUGCAUAUGUAAAAGUUUGAAAUUUUGGGAUGUUACACUGUUGGUGCGUACCGGUUCGCUUAAAGGAAUUAUUAAUGUCGUCGCA